rnacentral:rRNA from 1 species
UACGGAAGGCAGCAGUGGGGAAUAUUGCACAAUGGGCGAAAGCCUGAUGCAGCUAUGCCGCGUGUAUGAAGAAGGCCUUAGGGUUGUAAAGUACUUUCAUCGGGGAGGAAAAAACAAAACUAAUAAUUUUAUUUCUUGACGUUACCCGAAAAAGAAGCACCGGCUAACUCCGUGCCAGCAGCCGCGGUAAUACGGAGGGUGCUAGCGUUAAUCAGAAUUACUGGGCGUAAAGAGCACGUAGGUGGUUUUUUUAAGUCAGAUGUGAAAUCCCUGGGCUUAACCUGGAACUGCAUUUUGAAACUGAAAUACUAGAGUAUCGUAGAGGGAGGUAGAAUUCUAGGUGUAGCGGUGAAAUGCGUAGAUAUCUGGAGGAAUACCUGUGGCGAAAGCGGCCUCCUAAACGAAUACUGACACUGAGGUGCGAAAGCGUGAGGAGCAAACAGGGAUUAGAUACC